rnacentral:rRNA from 1 species
UACGUAGGGUGCGAGCGUUGUCCGGAAUUACUGGGCGUAAAGAGCUCGUAGGUGGUUUGUCGCGUUGUUCGUGAAAACCGGGGGCUUAACCCUCGGCGUGCGGGCGAUACGGGCAGACUUGAGUACUGCAGGGGAGACUGGAAUUCCUGGUGUAGCGGUGGAAUGCGCAGAUAUCAGGAGGAACACCGGUGGCGAAGGCGGGUCUCUGGGCAGUAACUGACGCUGAGGAGCGAAAGCCGUGGGGAGCGAACAGG